rnacentral:rRNA from 1 species
AGAGUUUGAUCCUGGCUCAGGAUGAACGCUAGCGACAGGCUUAACACAUGCAAGUCGAGGGGCAGCGGGGAGGUAGCAAUACUUCCGCCGGCGACCGGCGCACGGGUGAGUAACACGCAUGCAACCUGCCCUUGUCAGGGGGAUAAGCGGGAGAAAUUCCGUCUAAUACCGCAUAAUACCUUAUGGGGACAUCCUCAUGAGGUCAAAGAUUUAUCGGACAAGGAUGGGCAUGCGUCGCAUUAGUUAGUUGGCGGUGUAACGGACCACCAAGACGACGAUGCGUAGGGGUUCUGAGAGGAAGGUCCCCCACACUGGUACUGAGACACGGACCAGACUCCUACGGGAGGCAGCAGUGAGGAAUAUUGGUCAAUGGGCGGGAGCCUGAACCAGCCAAGUCGCGUGAGGGAAGACGGUCCUAAGGAUUGUAAACCUCUUUUGCCGGGGAGCAAAGAGCGGGACGCGUCCCGCCUCGAGAGUACCCGGAGAAAAAGCAUCGGCUAACUCCGUGCCAGCAGCCGCGGUAAUACGGAGGAUGCGAGCGUUAUCCGGAUUUAUUGGGUUUAAAGGGUGCGCAGGCGGAAGCGCAAGUCAGCGGUAAAAUUGAGAGGCUCAACCUCUUCCCGCCGUUGAAACUGCGUUUCUUGAGUGGGCGAGAAGUACGCGGAAUGCGUGGUGUAGCGGUGAAAUGCAUAGAUAUCACGCAGAACUCCGAUUGCGAAGGCAGCGUCCCGGCGCCCAACUGACGCUCAUGCACGAAAGCGUGGGUAUCGAACAGGAUUAGAUACCCUGGUAGUCCACGCAGUAAACGAUGAAUACUCGCUGUCCGGGGAGAUUGGUCUCUGGGCGGCCAAGCGAAAGCGUUAAGUAUUCCACCUGGGGAGUACGCCGGCAACGGUGAAACUCAAAGGAAUUGACGGGGGCCCGCACAAGCGGAGGAACAUGUGGUUUAAUUCGAUGAUACGCGAGAAACCUUACCCGGGCUCAAACGACGGAUGAAUACUUUUGAAAGGAGGUAGUCCUUCGGGACAUCCGUCGAGGUGCUGCAUGGUUGUCGUCAGCUCGUGCCGUGAGGUGUCGGCUUAAGUGCCAUAACGAGCGCAACCCCCAUCGCCAGUUGCCAACAGGUAAAGCUGGGAACUCUGGCGAGACUGCCGGCGCAAGCUGUGAGGAAGGCGGGGAUGACGUCAAAUCAGCACGGCCCUUACGUCCGGGGCGACACACGUGUUACAAUGGCAGGUACAGAGAGAUGCGACACGGCGACGUGGAGCGGAACUGUCAAAACCUGUCUCAGUUCGGAUCGGAGUCUGCAACCCGACUCCGUGAAGCUGGAUUCGCUAGUAAUCGCGCAUCAGCCAUGGCGCGGUGAAUACGUUCCCGGGCCUUGCACACACCACCCGUCA